GGAGAGGUGGCAGAGUGGUCGAAUGCGGCGGUCUCGAAAACCGUUAUACCGCAAGGUAUCGUAGGUUCGAAUCCUAUCCUCUCCGCCA
rnacentral:tRNA from 1 species